GUGAGGAAUAUUGCGCAAUGGAGGCAACUCUGACGCAGCCAUGCCGCGUGCAGGAAGAAGGCGCUACGCGUUGUAAACUGCUUUUAACCGGGAAGAAACCCCAGGACGUGUCCUGGGUUGACGGUACCGGAGGAAUAAGCACCGGCUAACUUCGUGCCAGCAGCCGCGGUAAUACGAAGGGUGCAAGCGUUAUCCGGAUUCAUUGGGUUUAAAGGGUGCGUAGGCGGAGCGUUAAGUCAGUGGUGAAAUCCUGCAGCUUAACUGUAGACUGGCCAUUGAUACUGGCGCUCUUGAGUGCGCUUGAAGUGGGCGGAAUGUGCCGUGUAGCGGUGAAAUGCUUAGAUAUGGCACAGAACACCAAUUGCGAAGGCAGCUCACUAAGGCGAUACUGACGCUGAGGCACGAAAGCGUGGGGAUCGAACAGGAUUAGAAACCCGAGUAGUCC
rnacentral:rRNA from 1 species